rnacentral:lncRNA from 1 species
GUUUGCGGGGCGGAGGGGCCUCAGGGCGACGGUUCCAGAACAGACCCAGGCUGCUCCGGUCAGCAGCAGCCCCGCCGCUCUCCCACCUAGCGGGGACCCCCAGCCCCGCCAGCCGCAUCGCUCUGUCCCUCUCAUGUCAGGCAAGCCAGUUCCGGACCGCGUGGCACCAGGAGCCGCCAGGAGCCGGGGCGACCCAGAGGUCUCCAGCGACCUGGCGUCCGGCGAGGACACAGCCCCCAGGAGGGGUUAGACCACGGGAGCCGGAGCCCGAGUCCCAGGGCCGCCGAGCCAGUUUAGAGUGGUCUCCAGGCCCUAGUGGGAAGGGGCUCCGCGCUUCUGGGCGUCCACAGGAGCUGCAUGGCCCUGCCCGCUGACGCCCGGUCGGGACGCUCCACACCCUGUGUGGGGGCGGAGGGGACGCGGUGGGUGCGGCCUGGGCGCGGGUGGGCUAGAGCCUGGAGACCGCCGGGAGCCCGACUUCCUGGCGCUUUGCCCUUUGGGGAGCGGAGCCAAGGAACAGCGCCAACCUCUCUCCACAAGCCAGGGACCCUACGACCCACCGCCGCAGGCCAGAACCAGCAGCUGAUUUAGAUACCAUCAAGACACCUAAAACCUUAUCAUGAGCCAGAUGCUGUGGAAGAGAUUCUGGGAGAAUCCUGAGGACCCCCCAGUUGCAGCCAUGUCAAGACUGAUGCUGAGGAGGACCCCAACUGUCACGAGCAACACCCGUCGAACACAGCCACCUACUUGGGGAAAGAUCAAGAAGCUGUCACAGAUGGUGGAAGAAAACCUGAGGAAAGCGGGACAACCAGUCACAAUGAGUAAUUUAAUGAUAGCUAUGAGAGCGGUGAUCACCAUUGCUUCUGCAGAUGCAGAUCCUGACUCCUGCGAGAAGUAGCUCACCGUGAUAAAGCUGCCUUUGCUUUUAUUGCCCUGCAAAAACAAGAAGGGGGAUAUGCUGGGGAAUAGGCCCCCAAAUCUGGACAUAAACUGGCCCCAAAACUGGCCAUAAACAAAAUCUCUGCAGCGCUGUGACAUGUUCAUGGUGGCCAUAACGCCCAUGCUGGAAGGCUGUGGUUUACCGGAAUGAGAGCGAGGAACACCUGGCCUAUCCAGGGCGGAAAACCACUUAUAGGUAUUCCUAAACCACAAACAACCUAUGCCUUAAGGACAUGUUCCUGCUGCAGAUAACUAGCCAGAGCCCAUCCCUUUGUUUCGGCCCAUCCUUUUGUUUCCUGUAAGGAGUGCUUUUAGUUAAUCUAUAAUCUAUAGAAACAAUACUUAUCACUGGCUUGCUGUCAAUAAAUAUGUGGGUAAAUCUCUGCUCAUGGCUCUCAGCUCUGAAGGCUGUGAGUCCCCUGAUUUCCCACUCCACAUGCU